AACGAACGCUGGCGGCGUGCCUAAUACAUGCAAGUCGAACGCAGUGGGGACGGGUGAGUAACACGUGGGUACACUCCCCAUCGGAGGGGAUAACACUUGGAAACAGGUGCUAAACCGAUACUGAUGUAUGGACCCGCGGUGCAUGAGUCAGUGGGCGAGGUAACGGCUCACCAAGGCCACGAUGCAUAGCCGACCUGAGAGGGUGAUCGGCCACACUGGGACUGAGACACGGCCCAGACUCCUACGGGAGGCAGCAGUAGGGAAUCUUCGGCAAUGGACGAAAGUCUGACCGAGCAACGCCGCGUGAGUGAAGAAGGUUUUCGGAUCGUAAAACUCUGUUGUUAGAGAAGCGGUAUCUAACCAGAAAGCCACGGCUAACUACGUGCCAGCCGCCGCGGUAAUAC
rnacentral:rRNA from 1 species